GACAGAGGGUGCAAACGUUGUUCGGAAUUACUGGGCGUAAAGCGCGUGUAGGCGGUUCGGUAAGUCUGAUGUGAAAGCCCCGGGCUCAACCUGGGAAUGGCAUUGGAAACUGGCUAGCUGGAGUGUGGCAGAGGGGGGUGGAAUUCCGCGUGUAGCAGUGAAAUGCGUAGAGAUGCGGAGGAACACCGAUGGCGAAGGCAGCCCCCUGGGCCAACACUGACGCUCAGGCACGAAAGCGUGGGGAGCAAACAGG
rnacentral:rRNA from 1 species